rnacentral:tRNA from 1 species
AGGCGCGUAGCUCAGGGGGAGAGCGCUACCUUGACACGGUAGAGGUCUGGGGUUCGAAACCCCACGUGCCUACCA